AACCUUCAGCUUUCUCUUCUGGACCAUGUUUGGUGCAUCUAAUCAAGGCUAUGUGGACAUGCCAGAUUUUGUCCUGGCUCAGUUUGUGGGCAGGGUCCUGUAUGGGGUCUUCACUCUCGUCAUUGUCAUUAUCCUGCUCAAUAUGCUUAUCGCCAUGAUCACUAAUUCAUUCCAGAAGAUAGAGGAUGAUGCUGAUGUUGAAUGGAAGUUUGCUCGUUCAAAGCUCUACUUGAGUUACUUCAGAGAGGGCUCCACUAUACCUGUACCCUUCAACCUCGUCCCCUCUCCAAAGGCCUUGUUCUACUUACUGAGGGGCUUUUUCUGUUGCUGCAACCGAAAGAAGAUUCCAGACUAUCCUCCUAUUGCCUCUAUG